rnacentral:rRNA from 1 species
AACGAACGCUGGCGGCAUGCCUAACACAUGCAAGUCGAACGAGACCUUCGGGUCUAGUGGCGCACGGGUGCGUAACGCGUGGGAAUCUGCCCCUCGGUUCGGAACAACAGUUAGAAAUGACUGCUAAUACCGGAUAAUGACGAAAGUCCAAAGAUUUAUCGCCGAGGGGAUGAGCCCGCGUAGGAUUAGCUUGUUGGUGGGGUAAUGGCCCACCAAGGCGACGAUCCUUAGCUGGUCUGAGAGGAUGAUCAGCCACACUGGGACUGAGACACGGCCCAGACUCCUACGGGAGGCAGCAGUGGGGAAUAUUGGACAAUGGGCGAAAGCCUGAUCCAGCAAUGCCGCGUGAGUGAUGAAGGCCUUAGGGUUGUAAAGCUCUUUUACCCUAGGGAUGAUAAUGACAGUAUCUGGAGAAUAAGCUCCGGCUAACUCCGUGCCAGCAGCCGCGGUAAUCUGAGACCUCGACGACG